CAAUAGCGUAUACUAAAGUUGUUGCGAUUAAAAAGCUCGUAGUUGGAUCUCAGGCAUGGGCGCACGGUCCGCCUCGCGGCGGUCACUGUGUGUUUUGUUUCCCAUCCUACGAUUCCCGGUUAUCAGCCCAUGGUGCUCUUCACUGAGCGUUUUGGGUGGCCGGAACGUUUACUUUGAAGAAAUUAGAGUGUUCAAAGCAGGCACGUUGCCUGAAUAAUGGUGCAUGGAAUAAUGGAAUAGGACCUCGGUUCUAUUUUGCUGGUUUUCGGAACACGAGGUAAUGAUUAAGAGGGACAGACGGGGGCAUCCGUAUUGCGGUGUUAGAGGUGAAAUUCUUGGAUCAUCGCAAGACGAACAACUGCGAAAGCAUUUGCCAAGCAUGUUUUCAUUAG
rnacentral:rRNA from 1 species